rnacentral:lncRNA from 1 species
CUGCAAAUUAUUCUGUGUGACACUGAUGUGAGUGUAGUCUGACAACUCCGACAUAUAUCCCACAGUUAUGCUAUCCCCUUUUCCUAGCUGAGUUUGCUCAAACCAUCUAUGGACGUUAGCGUUGCCCUCCACUCUAUCAAGAAGUCCGUUCUCCAUAAUAAAACUUUCUAACUUAGAAACUGACCGUGAAUUACCUUUUAAAUGCAAAAUGACAUGCAAUGAAAAAAAGAAACAGUCAGUAUCACAUAAUAUUAAUAAACUCAAGAAUGAUAUGUGAAGGUAAUAUCUAAAAUAUAAUUCUAACUAAGUUGAGCUCUUACGGUUUUUCUAUAUGAGGUUUUAGUUCUAAAGUUGAGGUACCUGAAUCAGCAGAUUCCUCGAUUCUCACCCAUUAUAGGCUCAUUUGAAUCGAGUUUAGUUCAGGGGAAUACAUUUCCCUAUGGCUACACGGAGAUGAAAAUCUCACGAAACCAUAGGUACGGAUGUAUCUCGAAAGUGAUCCACUAUCCUACACGGAGGCGAAAACCUCACGAAGGCGUAGUUUCUCACUCCCACUUAAGGGUGUGACCAUAAUGGUCAUGCAAAUGCAAUGCAUAUCAGAAUAUAUAACAUAUGCAAUAAUACAAACACAUGUAAUGCAAAGAAGAUUGAAUUUUAAAAUUUUUCAAAUUUUCGACAUUAAGAAAAAAGGUAAUCAAUUAUACGGCUUGGCUCUCUUAUUAGUCCCCAGCGGAGUCGCCAAGCUGUCGAAAUCAUUUCUAAAUCGAAUUUUGGAAAAUGAGAAUCGACUUUAAGAAAAAUGAAAACGGGAGUCGCCACCAAUCUUUUUAGGUGUGAUUGGAUCACCUUAUAAAAUGUUUUGUUUUAAAACAUUAAUUUUGGUCUACGAAAGUCGAGAAAAUAGAUUCGGGAGUCGGUUACGUACGAGGAAGGGUUAGCACCCUCGUAACGCCCAAAAAUUGGUACCUAAUUGAUUAUCAAGUGUCUUUAAUGUCAGAAAUUUGAAAAUUUUAAGAUGCAAUCCUUUUUAAAAUAUUUUGAUUUUGAAAAUUGGGGUUCACUCGUAUAUUGAUACUGAGUUAGCCUUUUUGGAAAUCCCUAUCUUGAAACAACAAAGCGCCAUAUCCAGUAAGUUAGAACACAUUGCCUUGCAAUUCCAAGACAGUCGCUUACACUUUUAAAACCUUUUAAAACUUAGAAGGGUGCUUGACUAUUCGGACUCAAUGAGAAAAGUUGCAACCCAAUAAGUUAGGGCACUACUUUUCUCGAAGCUUCCAAACACCAAGCAUUGCCUUUUUAUUUUCAAAAACUUUGUAGUCCUUUUUUUUUUAAAACCGAUGCAUGAAGGAGCAUAUUAACAUUAUGGAAUGACAUACAAUAUGGCAUAUUAUCAUAAUAGGUAAGUAAAAGCAUGAAUUUAAACAAUAUGAUAGCAAUAAUAUAAAGAUCAUGCAUUAGAUACAUACAUAUAAAAAAAAUAAUAGAUAUAGCAAAUCUUAACAACAUACGUACAAAGAUAUACAUAGCAUAUAUUGAAGAUAAAUAAGCAAAACAUACAAAGUAAUAAUUAAAAAAUGACAUUUAAUACCCAAAUGAUAUAUACAAUAUAAAAAUAUAAAAGAGUUAUUAUAUAUAAAAUAAAGUGAAUGAUUGUUUAACAAGAUAUACAUAUAAUACACAUAAAAUAUGAUAUUUAAUAAUAAAAAUAGUAUUUAAUAUACAAUAUAUAAUAUAUAAUAAAAAAAAUUUAUAAAAGGAUAAUAAUUAUAUAAAAAUAAAAAAAUAUAUUGGUUUAGAAAAAUAAUGUAUAAAAUACCAAAUAUGUAAAAGAAUUUAUAUUUAUAAUAAAAUAAUAAAAUAAUAUAUAUAAAUAUAAGUAUAAAAUAAGUAAUUAAUGAUGAAAUAUACGUAUUAUACAAAUUAUAAUAUUAUAAUAUCUUCAAAAUAUAUAAUAAUAAAAUAUAAGUAAAGUAAUCAUUAACAUAUGAAUAAAAAAUAAGUAUAUAAUACAAGUUAAAACUUUUAAUGAUAAUAACAUAUGGAUAAAAAAUUUAUAAUGGUAUAAAAAAAUGACAUAAUAUAAAAUAAUUAUAAUUUAUAAUAUGAAAGUAUAUAUAUGUAAAAAUAAUAUAUAAUAUGUAUAAAUUAUUAAUAAAUAUACAAUACAAGUAAAAAAAUAUAGAUAAUAAUGUAAAAUAUUAAUAAUUUGUGAAAAAUAAUAUAUAAUAAAUAAUAAUAUUAUGAAAUAGUAUAUUGUUAAAAUGUAAAAUAAUAUUAUAGUAUAAAGAUAUAUAAACAUUAUGUGAUAAAAAUAUACUAUAAUAAAUAAUAAGUAAUGAUAUAUGCUAAAAUAUAUAUUAAUAUAACAAUAGAAAAACAUGAAGUAGUAUAAUAUAAUAUAUAUACAUGCAUAGAAAAUAUAUAUUUGAAAAUAAACUAUAUAAAAAGGUUAAAUAUUAUAAUAUAUAAAAUACAUAAUCAAAUGUAUAAAAGAUAGGAAUAAAUAUAUGUAUUUGAAAAAUGAAGAAAUUAAAAUAAAAAAAAGGUUGAAAAACUAAGAUAGACGAAGAAUAAAAUAAGAACAAACCACGGAGAGUAAGAACGCAAGAGGGAGAGAAAUUUGAGUGAAUGCUCUCAAGAAUUCUUA